UACAGAGGGUGCAAGCGUUAAUCGGAAUUACUGGGCGUAAAGCGCACGUAGGCGGUUUUUUAAGUCAGAUGUGAAAGCCCCGGGCUCAACCUGGGAAUUGCAUUUGAAACUGGGAAACUAGAGUGUGGGAGAGGGGGGUAGAAUUCCAAGUGUAGCGGUGAAAUGCGUAGAGAUUUGGAGGAAUACCAGUGGCGAAGGCGGCCCCCUGGCACAACACUGACGCUCAGGUGCGAAAGCGUGGGGAGCAAACAGG
rnacentral:rRNA from 1 species